rnacentral:rRNA from 1 species
UACGGGGGGAGCAAGCGUUGUUCGGAUUUACUGGGCGUAAAGGGCGCGUAGGCGGCCACCGCAAGUCAGUUGUGAAAGCUCUGGGCUUAACCCAGAAAGGUCAGCCGAUACUGCGGGGCUAGAGUGCAGAAGGGGCAACUGGAAUUCUCGGUGUAGCGGUGAAAUGCGUAGAUAUCGAGAGGAACACCUGCGGCGAAGGCGGGUUGCUGGGCUGACACUGACGCUGAUGUGCGAAAGCUAGGGGAGCGAACGGG